AUAGCAGAGAGGGGGACUGAGCAUGAAAAGAGGCAUGUUCCACAUGUUCCCAUGUGGGAGUUGGUCUGCAAAAAUAGUAGUUGUACAGCUUCAGGCUACAGACCCUUAAAUUUAGGUGCCCACCUUUUAUGGAACAAAGGGAUGUCUAAGCCUACAUUUAGUUUCCUACACGUAGGUAGGUAAUUAGAGCUGGAUGAACUCUCCUGAACUAUCAAGAUAGAUGUAAUAGAUAUAUAAAACAGGAACAUGAAGUGGUUAUGCUCUUCUGCACCAGCAGGUGGAGGUCAGGUGGGAGAUUUCCUCGCAGACCUAUCAGAAAAAUGUGAGGCACACCUCUGGAACAGAAGAGAUUACAAAUAGUAGUGACUGAACCGGCAUAGCAAUCCUGUUUGAGAAAAGAGCAAAGAAGGGCUGCAGAGAACAAACAACUGUGAGACUUACACUUAGGAGUUUUUUUCAUGCCUCUGAUUUUAAACAAAACAUUGCAAAAAUUUCGAAA